rnacentral:rRNA from 1 species
GACGAAGGAUCCAAGCGUUAUCCGGAUUCAUUGGGUUUAAAGGGAGCGUAGGCGGACUUAUAAGUCAGUGGUGAAAGCCGAUAGCUUAACUAUCGAAUUGCCAUUGAUACUGUAGGUCUAGAGUACAGAUGAUGUUGGCGGAAUAUGACAUGUAGCGGUGAAAUGCAUAGAUAUGUCAUAGAACACCGGUGGCGAAGGCGGCCCACUGGCUCGAUACUGACGCUGAGGUGCGAAAGCGUGGGGAGCAAACAGG